rnacentral:lncRNA from 12 species
UUUAGGAAUUGAAAUUGAAUUGCACUGAAGGCAAAUUGAUAGAGCACAGUAAGGUAGAAUAUGCUGGCAACUUCACCCAUCCUCAAUUUCAGUUGAUGUCAAAGAAGGGCACGGAUGUCCAUUCUGAGGUCACAGAUCAAGGUUCUCAUGUUCUGACUAUUUUUAUUAGACUUCCUAACACUUCAAAGACACUCAGACCACAAACAAUCAUCUCCUCAAAGCCUUUAGAACAAGGACAUUUUCUCCCAGUUCCAAGUUUUACAGGUUAUCGUUGUCCCAGGUCAGUACAAGGCUGAAUUUCCAGAGAUUUGGCCCAUGGGCACAAUCAUUUUGGAUUGAGUUCCACUUGCUGCAAACUUUCCCAAUUUAUAUCAUCCCUUAUGCUGUGCUAAACACAUUGGAACUUCCAUUAAAAACUGUUGUAUAAAUUGGAGUAUUACGCUUUUUGAUAUGAUGAUCUAAAAAGAUUCUUUUUCAUGAAAGAAAC